UAACCAUGGUGAGGACAAGAUCUUCGAAGCUCCUUGAACCUAUCCCAAGCUCCAUAUAAUGUCCCAUCCUCCUUUUGGGUGAAAUUAGCUAUCUUCCUCCUAGAUUCA
rnacentral:snoRNA from 1 species